GUUGUGCUCAUUCUCUUUCUCAAAUAAAUAAACUUAAAAAAUUAACAAACCAAUAUUGAUACAUUACUAUUUACUAAUGCCCAGAAAUUAUUUAGAUUUCUUUUAUUUUUACCUAAAGUCCUCUUUUUCUGUUCCAGGAUCCCACAGUAUAUCUACUCAUCAUGUCUCCUUAGGUUCUUCUUGGCUGUAGUGGUUUCUCAGACUUCACUGCUUUUAACGACCUUGAUAGUUUUGAGAAGUACUGGUCAGGUAUUUUGUAGGAUGCCUCAUUACCUGAACCUGACCCAUGUCUUUCUCAUAAGACUGCGGCUAUGGAUUACUAGGAAGAAGACCACAGAGGUAAAGUGUCAUUUUCAUUACAUCUUAUCAAGAGGACAUUACCAGCAACACAACUUAUCACUGUUGCUGUUGACCUUGAUCAUCUGGCCGAGGUCACUGUUCAGAAGAAAGUAGCCAUAGCGAGCAGGCGGCUCACUCACAGAGCAAGUCUUACAUGUCAGGCACCAGGGCAAGAACCUCACCAUGACUUCAUUUGUUACAAGCCCACCAGAUUUUAUUCAUUCAUGAGAGACACAAGGAGAGAGGGAGAGGCAGAGACACAGGCAGAGG